CAGAAAACCAACAUGGAGACAAUGGCUUUGAAUGACACACUGGACCACAUGAACUUGACGGAUAUUCAGAACAUUUCAUCCUAAAGCAGCAGAUUACACGUUACUUUUGAGUGCACAUGGCACUUUCUCCAGAAUAAACCACAUACUAGGUCACAAAUCAGGCUUCAACAAGUA